CCGAGUUAGGGUCCUCUGGGCCCGACCUCCCAACCCUUUGUCGUUACCACCUCAGUUGCUUCGGCGGGCCCUGCCUCGAAAGAGGCACGCCGGAGGGGCGUGAAACCCCUUCUGGUCAGUUGCUCGUCGGUAGCCCCAACCACAAAAUUCUGAAGUAAACGUGUCUUCUGAGUAACAAACAAAAAUAAAGCAA
rnacentral:misc_RNA from 1 species